rnacentral:rRNA from 1 species
UCCUACGGGGGGCAGCAGUGGGGAAUAUUGCGCAAUGGGCGAAAGCCUGACGCAGCGACGCCGCGUGAGGGAUGAAGGCUUUCGGAUCGUAAACCUCUGUCAGUAGGGAAGAAAGAGCGUGGUGCUAAUCAGCUGCGAAUUGAAGGUAACUUAAAAGGAAGCACCGGCUAACUCCGUGCCAAGAGCCGCGGUAAUACGGAGGGUGCGAGCGUUUAUCGGAAUUACUGGGCGUAAAGCG